rnacentral:tRNA from 1 species
GGCAAGAUGGCCGAGUGGUUAAGGCGCUGUGUUAAGGAAUUGGGACCACAAAUCCCAGUCUUCGACCUCGCAGUGGGUAACCGCCUGGGUUCGAGUCCCAGUCUUGUCA